CGCCUGUUUAUCAAAAACAUCGCCUGUUGAAAAUAUAACAGGUCCAUCCUGCCCAGUGAAUUUUUUCAACGGCCGCGGUAUCCUGACCGUGCAAAGGUAGCAUAAUCAUUUGCCUUUUAAUUGAAGGCUAGUAUGAAAGGACACACAAGAAUAAAGCUGUCUCACUUGAAUUCUUAAUAAACUGAUAUCCAGGUGAAGAAGCCUAGAUCAUUAUAAAGGACAAGAAGACCCUAUAGAGCUUCACUAAUAACAAACAUAAAAUUUAAUUAUUAGUUUGGUUGGGACAACCUAAAGACAAAUAAACCUCUUAACUACCUAACAACACACACACACCCAAUAAUGUCUUAGAAUAUAGCUACCUUAGGGAUAACAGGCUAAUCCUACUAGAGAGAUCACAUUGACAGUAGGGGUUGGCACCUCGAUGUUGGCUUAGUGUAACUAUUAGGCGCAGCCGUUUAAUAAAGUUGGUUUGUUCAACCAUUAAAUCACUACGUGAUCUGAGUUCAGACCGG
rnacentral:rRNA from 1 species